UACAGAGGAUGCAAGCGUUAUCCGGAAUGAUUGGGCGUAAAGCGUGCGUAGGUGGUUUUGUAAGUCUGCUGUUAAAGCGUUAGGCUCAACCUAAUAAGGGCAGUGGAAACUAUGAGACUAGAGUAUGUUAGGGGUAGAGGGAAUUCCCAGUGUAGCGGUGAAAUGCGUAGAGAUUGGGAAGAACACCGGUGGCGAAAGCGCUCUGCUAGGACAAUACUGACACUGAGAGACGAAAGCUAGGGGAGCGAAUGGG
rnacentral:rRNA from 1 species